rnacentral:rRNA from 1 species
GUCUAGGCCACACCACCCUGAACCGGCCCUCUCGCCUCUGAUCUGUUGAAGCUAAGCAGGGUCGAGCCUGGUUAGUACCUGGAUGGGGUUCCGCCUGGUAAUAGCGGGUGCCGUAGGCU